rnacentral:rRNA from 1 species
AUUAACGCUGGCAGUGUGUAUAAUACAUGCAAGUCGAGUGCAUUUAGGUGCACGGCAGACGGGUGAGUAAUACGUUGGUACCUGCCCCGAAGUGAGGGAUAACCCCGCGAAAGCGGGGGUAAUACCGCAUGUGCUCGCAAGAGUAAAGCCUUGUGCGCUUCGGGAGGGGCCUGCGCAGUAUCAGCUAGUUGGUGAGGUAAUGGCUCACCAAGGCUAUGACGCUUAGCUGGUCUGAGAGGAUGAUCAGCCACAAUGGAACUGAGACACGGUCCAUACUCCUACGGGAGGCAGCAGUAAAGAAUCUUCCGCAAUGGGCGAAAGCCUGACGGAGCAACACUGCGUGGAGGAUGAAGGCCUUCGGGUUGUAAACUCCUUUUCUGGGGGAAGAAGUUCUGACGGUACCCCAGGAAUAAGCGACGGCUAACUACGU